rnacentral:rRNA from 1 species
UACGAGAGGCCCAAACGUUAUUCGGAAUUACUGGGCUUAAAGAGUUCGUAGGCGGCGCAGAAAGUAGGGUGUGAAAGCCCUCGGCUCAACCGAGGAAUUGCGCUCUAAACUACUGUGCUUGAGGAAGCUAGAGGUGAGCGGAACUGAUGGUGGAGCGGUGAAAUGCGUUGAUAUCAUCAGGAACACCGGAGGCGAAGGCGGCUCACUGGGGCUUAUCUGACGCUGAGGAACGAAAGCCAGGGGAGCGAACGGG